UUCAGUGUAUAUUAAUUAUUUAUUUUCAUUUUACUUAAAAUAUAUGUUUUUGUUAAGUUAACAUAUGUUUUUCUAAUCAAGUCUACGUAAUUGUGUCUAUUAUUCAACGUACAUAAUACUAAUGUGUUACUUGAUCGCAUAACAUUUAAGUUAAGUCAAUGAGGAUCGAUAUACCUUGUAUAUCCACAAGGUGGCAGUAAUGCAAAAACAGUUGUAAUGAAACCGCGCAGAACAAGAAGGUUUCACGGCUUGUGCCUGCUCAUGCGCAAGACUUCAAAUUUAACUGAAAAAGGCUGUUUUGGCGCCAAGCUGCUGUUUCUUUGAGAGAUCCUGCCUUUACCUGCUCCCUCCUAUACUGAUGUGGUGUAUGUGGUACUGCUGAGCUUGUAUGUGGUGGAAGCAGAAUAUGUGAGGAUUACUACUGCUGCACAUGUUCCAAGGCUUUUUACACAACUUGACCAAUACACUGACCAGCUCAUAAAAGUCUUCAAGAAAAAAGGAGGCGUUGCAGGGAAGAAAAUUAGACAAACUUUGGCCCCAGCCACACAGAAGGAAACCAUUGAAAAGGGGAGGGAGUGUGUCCUCAGGGCACUACCUUUUUACCUGAAUGAAGACCCAAGCAUCCUCUUCAAAGAAUAAUUGCUACAGCUGUUCAGAGGGAGCUGGAACAAAUUACCCUUGCUAUCUUUACCAUCGAAAGAGCUGAUGCCAGCACUCCUCCAGCCGAUGUGGGUAUAACCAUCUAGUGUGUCCUGCAUGACCUGGAAGACCUGGCCUCUGCAUGUGCACUCUUAAUGGGUGGGAUAUAUGCACUGAAUCUCAGUUAACCUCAAGACUGAAAGCUAAGAGACAAUCAAAAGUAUUGAGAUUUAAAGGAUUUAAUUGAGAGAUGAUACUGCACCAGAAAUGUUGAAGGGUGGUGUGUAUAUUAGCGUUCAAGGCAUAUUGUUAUGAGGUGGAAAUAUGUUCAU